GUGGUUGUGGCUCAGAGGUAGAGCGCUUGCCUAGCAUGUGUGAGGCACUGGGUUCAAUCCUUAGCACCACA
rnacentral:tRNA from 1 species